UCUCGAUAGCGUUAAAGUUAACUAAAUCUGUAUGGAGUUGGAACGUAUGCCUACGUUUGCCGCUAGGGGCGCUGUUUCAACUGCAUACAUACAAAUUUGACUUAACUUUUACACUAUCGA
rnacentral:pre_miRNA from 9 species